rnacentral:lncRNA from 1 species
UUAAUAAUUUUCUCAAUAAAAAUAAUUUCCUUAAAACAAUUUAAACAAAUUAAAAGAGUAAGGAAGAGAGAAAAUUGCACAUGUAACUUUUAUACUGGUUCGGAUCACAAAGAUCCUACAUUCGGUUGUUAAUCUCAAUCGAAAAUUAACGCUUCACUAACACAAACCAACAAACUGUUAUAAUCACAAUGAAAAUAAAACAAUUUAAGGUUAGAACACCUUUUUUGUUAUCCCAAGAGAUGAAACUCACUGUCCCUGUGACCCACAAGGGAUGAACAUCUCCUCUGAAUCUUCACAAAGGAUGAACAUCUCCCCCGAAUGCUUCAGGAAGGAUGAUAGGCUUUCAAUUUUGCAAUAGCAACAACACUCAAUCACACUCCCUUUGAAAGUUCUCGCUCUCUUCCAACAACAACACCACUCAAGCACACUACCUAUGAAAGUUCUCGUUCUAUGCCAACACGCCAAGUUCUCAAAAGUAAAUCUACUAUAAAACUUUAUCAUUAAUAAAAAUCCUAAUGACUAUCACAUUAUUUCUUAUUCCACAUUUACUUUUCUUCUUCAAACUCAAAAGAAAACAAGUCCAGAUUCACUAAUAUUGCAAAUGAAAUAUAAGAAAAAGCAUUGUGAAUAAACUACUUCCAGAUAGAUGAAUUCAAAAUUUGGUUUAUUCCACCAAAAAUUGGAGAUUGAUUUUUUUUGUCACUUAUUUUAAUUAAUAUAUAUAUUAAAAUGUAUAAUUUUAUUAAAGUCUUAAAUUAAAUAGAAUCUCUUCAACAAAGUUAAUCAUUUAAUCGUUUUCAAUGGAAACAUGUCUAGAAAUUCAAAAAUAUGUUUCAGAAUAUUUCUUCAAUAACAAUAUCGUAAAUAUUUUUAUGAAUAUAUUUAGUUUUUAAUUAUUAAUAAUUGAAAAUAAUGUACACAAUAAUUUAAAUUACUAUGAUGAUAAAAAGCAACAAAAAUAUACAAAAUAAAUAUUUACACUGUGAAAUGCGAAAAUCAAAAUAAUAGUUAAAAGCAUUUCGUGUUGGCAAAGACACAGAUCUGGAGUGAAUAGAGUUAAAAAGACUAGAGAGAAGAAGGCAAGGGAAACAAAAAAACCUUUCUUUUUCCUGUCGACGCCCUAAUUCAUUCUCCUCUCCGUUCUCUGUGUUUUCCAUUCUCCGUUCGCUCACCAUGACGAAGCAACACGCUAAUUGGUCUCCAUACGAUAACAAUGGAGGGUAAGGGUUCCCUUUCGCUCUCUCUGAAAGAGUAUUUUCAAUUUUUCAUUUGGUGAUUUUUUUGUUCACUUUGCAUAGGUCAUGUGUUGCGAUUGCUGGAGCCGAUUACUGUGUUAUCGCGGCAGACACCAGAAUGUCCACCGGUUACAACAUCCUCACCCGGGAUUACUCCAAAAUCUCCCAAUUGUAUGAUUCUCCCCUAAAAUUAAGUCUCGUCCGAAAUAAUUACUUUUUUAUUUUUCAAUUUUUCUGAAAUUGCUUAGUUUACUUUAUCUUAGCAUUGUUUGUUUGUGUUGCUUAAGGAUGUAACUAAGGUUUCUAUUGUUUACAGAGCGGAGAAAUGUGUCAUGGCUUCUUCUGGUUUUCAAGCUGAUGUGAAAGCCUUGUAGAAGGUUUCGUCUGCUAGGCAUUUAGUGAGCUAAAAACUCUCAACGAUUAAAACAACUGAAUAGAGCUACUUAGACUUGUGAUUUCUUUUGGGUUUGCUUUGUAAUGUACUAACUAUGUUCUGUGCUUAAUCUCUUAGUGUGUGUUCUGUCCGCUUAUUUAUCUAUGUUGAUAUUGGAUGAACUAAGAACUAUGAUUGGUUCCAAUCUAGUUUGUUUCCAACCUCCCCAAGAUUAAAAUAACUUAUGAAAUGAUAAAUAUAUAGUAAACAUGUUAGGCAAAUACUCAUCUGACUUGGCUUGGCUCUGAGACGAUAUCGGGUGAAAUUAGCGAAAAUCUCAAUAAUGUUAUUAUUUGUACAGGUAAGGUGUUGAGUGAAUGUGUUGAUAUUUUUCAUGAUGCGGUGGAUUGAUUUUCUUAUACUUGGUUUAGCUUAUAUAAAACAAAUAUAAUCCCUAAAUUUUACCAGUUCUACCAGCUUUCUAAUCAGUGUUUUGAAAAAUGUGAUUAUCUUGUAAAACUUGAGUUAUCAGACCGGCUCUAAUAAAGCUUCUAGUUUAUUUUUUUCUUUUUUGUAUGGAUGUAUUCAACAAUAUUAUUUGUUUUUCGGCUUAAUACUUCCCUUAGUCAUUGUAUUUGUGUGAAAAUCUCAGUUUGGUCUUCAAGUUUUGAAUUAUUCUAAUUGGGUCAUAAUUUUUAUAAAAAUGCACACAUUUUACUCCAACUGUUAACCGAUCUCGAACAACGUUAAGUUUAGUUGACGUGAUAUGUUGACGUGUUGACUUAAUCCUUUCUUGGUCCUCGUAUUUGUGUGAAAAUUUCAAUUCGGUCCUCAAGUUUUGAACUGUCUAAAUUGGGUCAUAAUUUUUGUAAAAAUACACAUAUUUUACCCAAAUCGUUAACUGAUUUCACUGUUCAACAAUUAUCUUCUGCUAUCAGUGGAAUAAAUAGCUUAAAGGCUGGUGAUGAACCUAUAGGUUACCAAGUUGUUUCAUUUGCAGAAAAGGCUGUGGGAUUGAUUGCACUGGUUACGUGAGUUUUCCGGUGACUUUAUUUUUUGAGCCGACAAAAUAAUCUGUGUAAAAUCUCUGAUUCUCAGAUAGAUGAAUAAAAUCUCUAAUUCAAAUAAACUAAAUAAUAGGCAUUGUGCCACGUGAAACACUGUUUAUUUUAAAAAAUAAUUCAUAUAAUUAAAUAAUGUACGUCAGCAUGUCCUCUGGCUACCACGUUAGCUAAACUUAACGCUAGGGUAAAAUGUGUGCAUUUUUACAAAAAAUAUGACCCAAUUGAAACAGUUCAAAACUUGAGGAUCGAGCUGAGAUUUUUAUACAAAUACGAGGACUAAAAAGAGAUAAAUAUUUUUGAAACAUGGAUAUUUGAUAUGAAUAAAUAAGUAAAAGGUAUGCCUAUUGCGACUUAUGAAGGACACGGUCAACCGACCAGUGUGAAAUAGUUUUUGAAGUUUCAUGCUUCAAUUUUUCAUUAUAUGAAUCACUCACCGCUGAUAUUUGAAAGUUCUAAAACAGGGAUAUUUCAAUAUCAGGUUAUUUAAGAUUGGUUUUAGUUGAUGCAUAUUUGAUUCCUUCCCACAGCCUUUAAAAGCUUUUGUUUUACUUUACUUCUUUUAUGUUGUUGGGCCCGUGCGCGUGGGAUGGAAAAUAAAGUUCUCUUUCUACUUUCUACUGUUUUCAGCGCAUUUAGGGUGUGAGAAAGAAGGGAAAAUUUAGUUUUCCUUUAUUUUCUUUAUUGGAAUGAUCAAUGAAAGGGAGAAAGAUUAUCCAUGUCCAGUGUUUGGAAGAUUUCUUUUCUUUCUUUGAGUUUAUAUUAAAAGCUUUGACUCAUUUUUACUGCUAAACAAAGGAGGGAGUUUCCGUAAGUUGCAUAUUAUAUUGAUUAUUUAAUUAAUAGGUUCAAGAAAGAGAAAAAUGUUGGUUUUCUCUAUUUAAAGUGUUUUCCACAAAGAUAAAAGUUAAUGGAUAUCAUGUCAUUCAAGAUUAAUUUUUGCAGGAGCAAAGACCAAAUUAUGCACCUAACAUACAUAUAUUAUUCAAGAUUUAUUUUCCUAUUGCUGCAUAAUUUAAUUCAAUAUCAUGGUACUGAGUAAAUGCUUCCUGAGCAAUUAACUUGGCAUUUAUAUUGCCUUUCUUCUUCAAUACUGACAUGACAGUUUUUACACCCGCUUCUACCUAUCAUCAUUAUUAGUGGUUCGUCUUUUGAAAGUGGUUGAUGUACGGUCAUCGUGAACUUUCUUCAUCUACCCUUCAAAUUCUUCGAUGUAACAACAGAUGGAUAAUACAGGGUCUGGAAAAUGAAUUCCCCCAAAUAUUGCUUUAGGCAUUUUUUUGGAAACUAUGCAGGUUACCUUGUGGAUAUAUCGACAUCAUUCGCAACUCUCACGGUGACUGCUACGCUGUCCGGACCAGCCUCCGUGUAAUCCGCCAGGCUGACCGGUCCGACCCCUACGACGUCUGCGACACUCGCGAAGACUGUCGCGCCAGCCUCCAUGUCUACAUGCAGGCACAUACGUCUUUCUUCCUUGGACGCCACUACCAUCGAGCCUUUCACAUCGCUCGGUAGCUCUAGCCCUAUAGCCAGUCGUGGAUGAUGCUAACCCUGCUUUCUCAAAUGACGAAGGCGACGCAAGGCUGAACAGAGGCUCUCGAGAAAGACUACCAAAAUAUUAUUAAUAUAACUUGAAACUUUUAUAUUAAUUAUGAUUUUUGUUUCUCGAUCUGGAGCACGAGACCGACCUAACCUCUUUGUCCAGUCUUAGAUCGCCUGACCCGUUCGUCCUGACGGUAUCCCUGUGAGUCAAUCGGGAGGUCCUGCAAAGAGAACACUCUGACGCCUAAGUCAGAUGGGAGAUCAAUUAGCUAGGCAAAUUUAAGAUUGGGAAAAAGAUGUCUUUACCUGACCCACUACUCCCCAUUUAUAGGCUUCACAUUUGUAACUGCGCAUUGAUUUCACUAAUCUGCCGCAUCUUCCGUUACAUCUCCAUCAAGACUCAUCAAUGCUCCUGUAAUCUCACCCCCAUCUUGCACCACACCGUCCGGCCUCGAGCUGCACUUACCUCCCAGACCUUACCGGCCGGCCUGACCGAACCCCCUCCACUACACAAGCCCCCCAAGCCCAGAGCGACUCCAACCAGCGAAGGGGUUGAAACCCUUGAAAUGGACUUUGGCAACGAAACGUCUUGUCAUCCUAACCAUUCGAUCACGCCCUCAGCAAUGGUCACGAUCUUUUUGCCCAUCAAUCACAUCUGUUCACCGAAGAGUCACCACUUUCCCUCCGUUGGAUUUGUCAUCUAUGGACGGCUGAGAUGAUUUCUCAAUCCCUCUUUUUUGGCUAUAAAAGGUGGGGGCCCCCUCCCUCAUUCCCACAUUCCUUCCCCUCUGCACUCCGAUUCCCGUUCCCACACUGCACUUCUCCCGCUCUUUCACUCUCCUUCUUCAUCCAACUGCUCAGGUAAUGUCUUCCUCGACGUGGUCUUCUGAUGAGUUUGAAGAUGAAGGUCGGGGGUACGCUGACGACGCGGUUGCUUCGACCUCCUCUCCCUCCUCCUCAUCCCCAUCGUCCGGUCAACCCGUCCGGGAGGAAGCUCCUGACGACGACGUUGAGUUCAAUGUAGACAACUCCCUUGAGUGGACCGACAUUGCUCCACCGCCCGCCAUUCCGGGUUACGAUUGGGCUCCCCACGAAGCCCGAGGCCACCCAACUUACUUCAUUUCUACCUCCUCAAUCAUACGCUUGCUCGAGUCUAUGGAUCUCAUGUCUAACCUCCGAAGAGAUUCGACCGACAUAUCUUUGGUGGUAUGUCGUUCCAAUGAACGGGUAUGUCACGGUCGGGAAGGGUAUGCCUUGGAUUUCUUUUACGCCUACCUAACCCUCUUUCGUGACCUAGGGGUGAGGCUUCCUUUCUCUGACUUUCAAUGCGGUGUACUCCGUGAGUUGAACAUAUGUCCUGCCCAACUUCACCCGAACGGGUGGGCAUUCAUGCAAGCUUUCUCGGUCCUUUGCACUGGUUUAUUGCUGACACCCACCCCCGCUUCCUUCCUCUUCUUUUUCAAGGCCCAACCCCAUCCCAACAAAAGCUGGAUCUCCUUAGUCCCUGUAAAAGAUAAACAACUCUUCACCUCAUUCAACUCUUCAUACAAAGACUUCAAAUCAAACUUCAUCAAAAUCGCCAUACGCGAACCCGACCGGUCCAAAUACUUUUCUGAGGGCCAACCCAAAUUCCCCCUAUACUGGACCGAGCACCCCAAUCAAGUUAUUUCGUGGAAAAAAUCUGACAUGACCGAGGAUGAACUAGAAGUAAUCCGUCAGAUCGAUCAGCUACCCCGCAAGACCUCCUCCCGCAAAGUCAUAGAACUUAUCGGAUCAGACACUCUACGAGCUAGGGUGUUUGGUAAGUUUCCUUACAUUUUGCCUUAACCGACCGGUCACUAUUAACUUGCUAAAUUUGUGUUAUCCUUGCAGACUUCUUUGGAGGCAUGGAGAAACAUCAAGCUUUCGCCCGCGCUUUAGCCCGCAAGAACCAGCGCAGUGGGCACGUCACUAUCCUUUCCUCCUCCACUGCCACCCCUUCAAGCUCUGCCCCUCCUCCACCAUUAAAGACCUCCACAACAGACGACUCCAAACCGAUCGUCAUCUCCUCUGCCCCGAAAACCAAAGGAAGAAAACGCCAAAGUCAAGAAAAGACUUCAUCCCCCCCCCCCCCCCCAAAAAAAAGAAAAGGAAUCUCGGCCCUUUACUAGCUGGUCCCCUUGACCCCAAUAUCCACGUGUCCGACCGUCUCAUUUUUAACCUUUCUCCAGAAGAAUGAGAGCCCUUCAAAAAGCUCACUCCCUCAGAAGCCUCUGACAUGGCUUAUGAGCUGCUCUCCCGAGCCGGCAUCUGCCUGAACUAUGCCGCAGGGACCACCAAACAUCUUUUGGUUUCGGAGCUCGAGAUGUCUAACAACAAACUGGAAAAGGCCAAAGAGGAUAUCGCCUCCCUCACCGACCGUCUUGAGAAGGCUAACAAGCAGGCAGAGGACGCUCGGGCUAAAGUCGCCGCCUCUCUCCUCGAUUCUCAGAAUGAAGUGAAAUGUCUUCAACAAUCAGUGGAUUCUCUUACUCUCAACCUUCAGCAAUCUUCCAAUCAGAUUAAGCAGCUAACCGCGGAAAAAGACGCCGCUAUAGCCGACAGGGACAAAUCAUUGGUUGAUUUUGCUGCCUUAGAGGAUGAACUUUGCGAUGAACGCCAAUGCGGGUUCGAACAAGGGAUCGCCCAAUGCCACUACUUCUUCUAGUCGCCCUUAGAGCACGAAGGUUUCAAUAUCAUGAAGAUCUUGGUGGAUGGGCAACUUAGCGAUAUUUCUUCCCAGCUUCCUGCUGAAACAACCAGCGCACCCAAUCAGACGGCCCCGACCGGUGCUCCUCAGACUUCCCAGACUUCCUCUCUCGCUCCCCUCCACCAACGUCACCAAGGGCUAGUUGCUAGUUUAACGCCUUUUAUUUUGCCGUUUAUGAUUUGUAUUCGCACUCUCUUACCACCAUUUCCCUUCAUCUUUAUUUUGGGUAGAACUUAUGAUGUAAUCCUGCUUUUACUACUUGCAAUUAUCAUGACAUAUUUGCGAUUUAUCAUGUGCGAUUAUCAUGACAUAUUUGCGAUUUAUCUUGUGCCGAAUGAUCUACGCAUUUACUCUUUAACGCACCCAUAUCUCAUCUUGCACGACCGGCGCAAAAGCCCAACAAAGUCAUGUUCCUGACUUCGUUGGGACGUCGGAACAUCCCUCUUUAUUCCUCUUUACACAACCGAACGGGAUUGGGACGUCGGAACGUCCCUCCUUAUUCCUCCUUACACAACCGAACGGGAUAUCAUUUUCCUGAUUUCCCCUAUUCUUCUAAGUUCAAGGAAGUUAUUUUCCUGACUUCGUUGGAACGUCGGAACGUCCCUCCUUAUUCCUCCUUACACAACCGAACGGGAAAUCAUUUUCCUGAUUUCCCCUAUUCUUCNNNNNNNNNNNNNNNNNNNNNNNNNNNNNNNNNNNNNNNNNNNNNNNNNNNNNNNNNNNNNNNNNNNNNNNNNNNNNNNNNNNNNNNNNNNNNNNNNNNNNNNNNNNNNNNNNNNNNNNNNNNNNNNNNNNNNNNNNNNNNNNNNNNNNNNNNNNNNNNNNNNNNNNNNNNNNNNNNNNNNNNNNNNNNNNNNNNNNNNNNNNNNNNNNNNNNNNNNNNNNNNNNNNNNNNNNNNNNNNNNNNNNNNNNNNNNNNNNNNNNNNNNNNNNNNNNNNNNNNNCUGACUUCGUUGGAACGUCGGAACGUCCCUCCUUAUUCCUCCUUACACAACCGAACGGGAAAUCAUUUUCCUGAUUUCCCCUAUUCUUCUAAGUUCAAGGAAGUCAUUUUCCUGACUUCAUUGGAACGUCGAAACGUCCCUCCUUAUUCCUCCUUACACAACCGAACGGGAAAUCAUUUUCCUGAUUUCCCCUAUUCUUCUAAGUUCAAGGGAGUCAUUUUCCUGACUUCGUUGGAACGUCGGGACGUCCCUCCUUAUUCCUCCUUACACAAUCGAACGGGAAAGCAUUUUCCUGAUAGUGGCUGAUCGGUACAAUUAGAAUUAAGUAGCAGUGGAAAAUCUCGUGUUAUUUGACUUAUGAUUUCACAAGUACAAGAUUAUUACGGCUCAAAAGAAACUUAACUAAAAUACAAUUUCAAGUGAGAAAUAUUCCACGUAUUCGGAAUCACUUUCCCGUCCAGAUAUUCCAGCCUGUAGGCUCCGUUAUUCAAGCUUUCGCGCACUCUGUAUGGCCCUUCCCAACUGGCCGCCAGCUUUCCGUGAGCCUUCUCCCUCCGGGCCUCCCCGACUUUCCUCCAAACAAGAUCACCCUCGACCAAAUGUCUUGGUCGCACUUUAGUGUUAUACCUCCGCGCAACCAAUCUUUUUAGCGCCUCCGCCCGGACUGCUGCGGUUUCUCUUCUCUCUUGUAACACAUCCAGGUUUCCCCUUAAGCCUUCCUCAUUCGCAGCUAGGUCGUCUCCCUUCCUUCUCAGUGUUUCCUCACCCACCUCGACCGGCAUCAUCGCGUCCGUCCCAUAAGUCAGGUUAAAUAGGGACUCUCCUGUUGCUCCGUGCGGUGAACAACGAUAUCCCCACAGGACCGACGGUAGCUCAUCAACCCAUGCCCCCUUUGCCUCGCCCAACCUCCUCUUCAGCUCUUGAAUGAUUAUUUUAUUUACCGCCUCUGCUUGCCCGUUCGUCUGAGGGUGCUCCACAAAACUCGUGACAUGAAUUAUUCCCCACUCCCGAUCGAAAGCUUCCAGCUUCUUAUCUAUAAACUGUAGGCCAUUGUCCGUAAUAAUUACCUUGGGCAAUCCAAAUCGACAGAUAAUCUUCCAUACAAACUUCUAGACUUGGGUGGCCGAGAUUUUGGACAAAGGUUCAACCUCUACCCAUUUCGUGAAAUAAUCCGCUGCCACUAACACAAACCUCAUCUGGGAACGCCCGGUCGGUAAUGGACCGACAAUGUCCAUUCCCCAUUGGGCGAACGGCCAGGGGGAUGUUAUUCCUUGUAACUCCACUGCUGGUCCAUGGAAAACAUUUCCAUACUUUUGGCAAGCUCUGCAUCUCUGGAUGAACGCCGUGCAAUCCUUCUCCAACGUUGGCCAGAAGAACCCCGCUCUCAGCACUCUUGCCCGUAGAGUUCGUCCCCCUGUAUGUCUCUCGCACACCCCUUCAUGUAGUUCCUUCACUACGUACUCUGCCUCGGUCUCCGAAUCAGCUGUAUUAUCUCAUCUCUCCAGGUGCUUUGUGAUCCCAUGGUAUCAAUGGCGCAACAUUCCACCGUUGGCUUUGCUACCGUGUGCCUGAUCACCGUAGAAAAAAGCUUUUCCUUUUGAUUCCAGUCCCCUUUGCUCUCUCGGAUUGAACUUCUUUUCGUUUCCCUAAUAUUCUUCAGGUAGAAAGAGGAUAGGUUGAAUGGGUACCAAGGUUCACAGAUGAAAACGAAGUGUUGAAGGUGUGUCCUGAAUGCUCUCUGGCUGUGAUGGUUCAGUGUUAGUGAUGAGUAUCGAAUGUUCAAGCUGUGUUGGUGAUGUGUUGGGGAUGAAUUCGUACUGAGUGCUCUCUGGCCGUGGUGGUGAGGUGAAUACGAGUUGUAUGUGAUGGGUAAAUAUGAAGGAUGAUGAUGAAGACGUUGUGUGUGAUGAGGAUGUAGAAGUGGAGAGGUAGGAAUGGUGAGAAGGUGAGAGUGAUAUUGGUGAAGGAGGUGGAAACGUAUAGAGGAGCAGAAUAGUGGAGGGCAGUGUGGUGUCCUUCCUUGCCUGCCAAGGCCAACAACCUCUCCUCUGCGUCGUCCUUACUCUGACCACAGACCACUUUGUCCCCUUUCACAAACGACAAAGCCACUUUUUUUCUUUUUUUUCAUUUUCUCUUUUAAUUAUGUUAAUUACGCUUAAAAAGAAGACAAAAAGUUAAAAGUAAAAACAAAGAUCAAAAUGAAAAUUGUAAAAAUGGAAUACUAAAAAGAAAAUAAGAAUAAAAUAAAAGAAAGAGAAUAAAAAGUAACAACAAAAUCGAAAAUGGGUAAAGCAUAUGACAAUCGCAAUAUUAAACACUCAAACAAAUCCGGACGAAAUUGGGUGUUGACAUAUAUAUAUAUAUAUAUAUAUAUAUAUAUAUAUAUAUAUAUAUAUAUAUAUAUAUAUAUAUAUAUAUAAAAUUAUUAAAAACACAUGUUAAUGUUUUUACAGGGGACAAGGUUGAAAUCGUCAUCCUAAAUGCUAGUGGUAUUCGUCGUGAGUAUAUGGACUUAAGGAAAGACUAGUGCUCUCUACAAAAAGAUAAGUACUAAUUUAUUAUUAUUAAUUCUUGAAAUUCCAAUAGUAUAUUGACCAUGUACACUCUAAGCCGUAUGUAUGUAUGUAUAUAUAUAUAUAUAUAUAUAUAUAUAUAUAUAUAUAUAUAUAUAUAUAAUUAUUAAAAACACAUGUGAAUGUUUUUAAAGGGGGACAAGGUUGAAAUCGUCAUCCUAAAUGUCAAUGGUAUUCGUCGUGAGUACAUGGACUUAAGGAAAGACUAGUGCUCUCUACAAAACGAUAAGUACUAAUUUAUUAUUAUUAAUUCUUGAAAUUCCAAUAAUAUAUUGACCAUGUACACUCUAAGCCAUAUCAUUAAACCCAUUAAAAUAAGGUUAGGUUAGUCAAAUUUUAAAUGAUGUUAUGUUAUUCUAUUAUUAUCAACCUUUGAAAUUAAGUGAGAUUUAACUUUUGCUUACCUGAUACUAAUUUUAAAAAGUUAUUUCACAAUCCUAAAUAAAUAAUUAGUGGAGCGAAGAUUCUCAGUGGUAGUUAGGAAAUAUUUUUUGUGUUAAUUUUACUUUUUAUGUCAAUUUUAGAUUUGGUAUAGAAAAUCUACAUUCAAUAUCGAUUCUAUGAAUUAUUUAUAGAGAUAAUUUCAAAAGAAUGGAAGUAAGAGAAGAGGAGGUGAGAAGGAGAAAAGCAGACAAAAAAGGUGCAAAGAGAUGAGAAUUAAGGGUGUGAAGUAUAUGGUGAAAAAGAUGGGAGGAAAGAAGGAAACUAACCAUAUUAUAGCGGUUAUUGUGGAAAUCAGCAAAAAAUAUUUUGUGCUUUAUUACAAAAUUCCAUCGGUUUCCACUUUCUAUGUCAGUUAUAAAUAUAACUGACACAAAAAAAAUCUUAUACUUUAAUACAAAAUUAUCAUGAUUUUCACAUUCGUUCUAGAUAUAAUCGACACAGAAAGUUUUGCACUUUAUUACAAAAUUAUCACUGUUCUUACCUUCUGUGUCGAUUUUAGUAAUAAUCAAUAUAGAAAUCAUAACGUAUUUAUCAUUUAUCACUGUUUCAUUAAUUAUAAUGAAUAAAUUAUAACCACCAGUAAAUCGUUAUAAAAUCCAAUUAUAAUGAAUAAGCUAUACACAUACAUAUAAAUAAAAAAAAUAUUAAUGAGUAAUUAAUAGUUUCUUUUGUUUAUUAUGUUUCAGUUAAUAUGUACGUAUAUAUGUAUAUAUAUACAUAAAUAUAUACGUCCAUAUGUAUAUACGUCCAUAUAUAUAUAUAUAUAUAUAUAUAGAUACGUAUAUACGUAUAUACAUAGAUACGUAUAUAUAUGUAUAUACGUACGUAUAUGUUUAUACAAAAGUUAAAACUGACUUUUUAAAACAUUACAAUAUUGUAUAUUAUUAAUUUAUAUUUUGUUAAUUCAUGUUAUAAAAUUAAGACUAGUUAAGUAUAAAUGUUUUUAUAGAAAAAUAGUAAUCAUUUAAAGCUAAUAUAGUAUUCGUGUUUUAUAAAAAUUAAUUAAUUAAUAACAUUUAUACUAAUAUUUAUAUUAAAAUUUAUUAUAAGAAUAUGAUUAACAAAACAUGAGUUUAAUAAUAUAUAAUAAUAUAAUAUUUUAAAAAAAGAUUUUUAAUAAAAAUAUCAUUAUAAUAUUUGUACAAAUAAUAAAAAUUUAUUUUAUUUUGAAAAAAAAAACUAAAUUGAAUUAAAAAGACAUAUAUUAAAUUAAAAUCAAGACAAUAAUAUUUCACAGUAUCACUUGUCGCACUUAAAACCUGUUGACAAUAAAAAAUUUACAAAAUAUAAGAAUAAAAAAGUCACAUAUUAAAACGUGACAUAUCAUUAAUUAUAAUGAUUUUUUUUUUCAAAAGUUGAAUCGCAAUUGAAAAAAAAUCACUAAAUAUCAACUUUAAACUUUUCAACUAAAAUAGAAAAAAAAAUAAUUAAACCAAAAAAGGAGAAAAAGUCACAUACACUAUUAUUUCAAAUAUGCUUAUAGAUUCUUAUUUCCUUCCUGUCUAUUUCUUUUCAUCAUGUUAUAUAUUUUAUAAACUUAUAACUUGUAUUAUAUAUACAUAUUAAUGAAUAUUUUAGAGGUAUGUCAAUCAUUUUCUUAAAGAAAAAAGAGAAACUUUACCCUAAAAUCAAUCAUUUCUUUGUAGAGAAAGCACACAAUAUUGGAAUGAUAAAAUAAUUUCCUUUAUUUUUAUUUUUAAUGUUUUUAGUACUAAUUGUAAGAAUCUAGAAAAUAAAAUAUUAGAGUAGAUAGGUGUAUUAAAAUAAUAAGACGAACAUUUUAUUUUAAAAAAAAUAAUCUUAUAAUAUAAGUAGAACUUUCUAAAGCUCAGUUCAUUAUCUAAAUCAUCUCUAUCUCUCUAGAACACUACUCUCCUAGAGUUCUCUGACUUUUCUUUACAAAUUCUCAUGUUUGGACUGUCUGUUUGACGAUCAGGAGGUGCCCAAACGAUCACUGCGUUAAGGGCUUCACAUCUGAUUGAUCAUUUAGGCAAAUCGAGCAGGUAAGCGGUUAACCUUUUUCUCUAGCGUCUAGGGUUCUUGAUUUUGCAAAAUGUUUCUGUUUGCAUGGAUCAAGAGUUCAUUUCCUGCAAUUUCUUGCUCAAUUUAAGUUCUAAGGUUGGUUUUCUAUCAUCAAUCGGUGAUUUGUAGGGUUUUCUAAAGUUGCCUUACAGUGCAAGCAAACGGUCGGGGUUUCUUUGAGUUGUGCUAUUGAUUUGAGGUAAAGGAAGUUAGAUUAUUGCUUUAAUUAGUUGUUUGACAUGUGAGUGUGAUGAAUUUUGUGUUUCUUAAAAUGUUUGGACUAAAUUUAGGUUUAUGAGUGAAUUGUAUUAUGUUCAAUGUGAUUGUUUGAUUUUAAAUUGAUGAACUGUGAUGAUGGACUCGUUUUGGAUGAUAAUUAACAUGGUAUGAGAUGUAUGAAAAGUUAGAAAUAGAUUAUAAGGUUGAUAGAUUGUGAAGAAAGUAUAAAAUUUCAAGUUUUAAGGUAAUUUAAGGAAGUGGGGUGGUGAAAAUGAGAAUUAAAGGUUAGAUGUUCAAUUGUUCUAUUGGAGCAGCUUUGGUAAGUCAAAUGUGACUUGUUUGAGCCCUUAAAGUGGUCAAAAAUGUGUCAAAAGUGGUAGAUUGGAUUUUGGGUCUAUAAGUUGUGAUUUUAGAGGUUUUGAAGUAGGAAUUGGUCCAUAAACACUUUAGAAUGUUGGUAGGAAGGUUUAGAAACGUUUGGUCAAGUCCAAUUAGGUAUAUAACACAAUUUAGGAGGGUUAGAAGUGUCAAAGCAAUGCAGCGGAAGGAUUAUCGCGUUCAACAAACCAAGAGGGAGGUGAAUUGGUUUCUUAUCGCAAAUCGUUCUUUUAAUAAUUUUCUCAAUAAAAAUAAUUUCCUUAAAACAAUUUAAACAAAUUAAAAGAGUAAGGAAGAGAGAAAAUUGCACAUGUAACUUUUAUAUUGGUUCGGAUCACAAAGAUCCUACAUUUGGUUGUUAAUGUCAACCGAAAAUUAACGCUUCACUAGCACAAACCAACAAACUGUUAUAAUCACAAAGAAAAUGAAACAGUUUAAGGUUAGAACACCUUUCUUGUUACCCCAAGAGAUGAAACUCAUUGCCCCUGUGACCUACAAGGGAUGAACACCUCCUCUGAAUCUUCACAAAGGAUAAACAUCUACCCCGAAUGCUUCACGAAGGAUGAUAGGUUUUCAACUCUGCAAUAACAACAACAUUCAAUCACACUCCCUGUGAAAGUUCUCACUCUAUGCCAACAACAACACCACUCAAACACACUACCUGUGAAAGUUCUCGCUCUAUGCCAACACGCCAAGUUCUCAAA